UGAUUUUCGGGUUAAAUGGAAGAUUCCUGAAGAGAAAAGCAUGAUUUUUGCUUAAACGGCGGAUUUGUGAAGAGAAAAUGCGUGAUUUUCGCUUAAAUGGGGGAUUUGCGAAGAGAAAACGCGUGAUUUUCGGUUAAAUGGGGGAUUUCCGAAGAGAAAACGCGUGAUUUUCGCUUAAAUGGGGGAUUUGAGAAAACGCGUGAUUUUCGUUAAAUGUUGGAUUCUCGAAGAGAAAAUGCGUGAUUUUCGCUUAAAUGGUGGAUUUCUGAAAAGAAAACGCGUGAUUUUCGGGUUAAAUGGAAGAUUCCUGAAGAGAAAAUGCGUGAUUUUCGCUUAAAUGGCGGAUUUGUGAAGAGAAAACGUGUGUUUUUCGCUUAAAUGGGGGAUUUGCAAAUUGAAAAUGUGCCAUUUUUGGGUUAAAUGGGGGAUUUGAGAAGAGAAAAUGCGUGUUUUUUGCGUUAAAUGGGGGAUUCUCGAAGAGAAAACGCAUGAUUUGCGGGUUAAAUGGGGGAUUCUCGAAGAGAAAACGCGUGAUUUUCGCUUAAUUGGAGGACUUGCGAAGAGAAAACGGAUGUUUUUAGGGUGAAAUGGGGGAUUCUCGAAGAGAAAAUAUGUGAUUUUUUCUUUAAUGGGGGAUUUGCAAAAAGAAAACGUGAUUUUCACAUAAAUAUGGGAUUUGUGUAGAGAAAACACGUGAUUUUUGCUUAAGUGGGGGAUUCACGAAGUGAAGAACGAGUGAUUUUCGGGUUGAAUGGAGGUUUCUCGAAGAGAAAACGUGUGAUUUUCGCUUAAAUGGGGGAUUUGAGAAGAGAAAACGUGAUUUUCGCUUAAAUGGGGGAUUUCCAAAGAAAAAACAUGUGAUUUUCGCUUAUAUGGGGGAUUUGAGAAGAGAAAAUUUGUGAUUUUCGCUUAAAUGGGGGAUUCUCAAAGAGAAAACGCUUGAUUUUCACUUAAAUUGACGAUUCUCAAAGAGAAAACGCGAGAUUUUCG
ensembl:lncRNA